GAUGAACGCUGGCGCCGUGCCUAAUACAUGCAAGUCGAGCGAAUGGAUUAAGAGCUUGCUCUUAUGAAGUUAGCGGCGGACGGGUGAGUAACACGUGGGUAACCUGCCCAUAAGACUGGGAUAACUCCGGGAAACCGGGGCUAAUACCGGAUAACAUUUUGAACCGCAUGGUUCGAAAUUGAAAGGCGGCUUCGGCUGUCACUUAUGGAUGGACCCGCGUCGCAUUAGGUAGUUGGUGAGGUAACGGCUCACCAAGGCAACGAUGCGUAGCCGACCUGAGAGGGUGAUCGGCCACACUGGGACUGAGACACGGCCCAGACUCCUACGGGAGGCAGCAGUAGGGAAUCUUCCGCAAUGGACGAAAGUCUGACGGAGCAACGCCGCGUGAGUGAUGAAGGCUUUCGGGUCGUAAAACUCUGUUGUUAGGGAAGAACAAGUGCUAGUUGAAUAAGCUGGCACCUUGACGGUACCUAACCAGAAAGCCACGGCUAACUACGUGCCAGCCGCCGCUGUAA
rnacentral:rRNA from 1 species